GCCAGGCACGGUGGCACAUGCCUGUAAUCCCAGCAGCUCAGGAGGCUGAGGCAGGAGGAUUGCAAGUUCAAAGCCAGCCUUAGCAAAAGCGAGGCACUCAGCAACUUGGUGAGACCUGUUUCUA
rnacentral:sRNA from 1 species